GACAGAGGCCUCGAGCGUUAGUCGGAAUCACUGGGCUUAAAGCGUGUGUAGGCGGAUCGUUAAGUACCUUGUGAAAUCCCACGGCUCAACCGUGGAACGGCUGGGUAUACUGGCGGUCUUGGGCCAUUCAGGGGCGACUGGAACAAGCGGUGGAGCGGUGAAAUGCGUAGAUAUCAGGAAGAACACCCGUGGCGAAGGCGGCUCUCUGGGACGGUACUGACGCUGAGACGCGAAAGCGUGGGGAGCGAACAGG
rnacentral:rRNA from 1 species